CAGCUGCCUGGCCGCCCAGGCUUUGCAGCUGAAUGCGCACUGGAGCUUUCUUCCUGCGGCCCGCUGGUGCCCGCGGUGGAAACGAGGGCUCCGGCCUCUCUUCCACCCCGUCUACCUUCUGCCUUUUGUUCUUCUUUGAAAAGCCAGGUGGCGCCAACUCUCAACCCCUGCUAGAGCUGGAGGAUUUCGUGGCUUGCUCAGAGCAAAGCAAAGAGGCGGUGGGAAGAGCACACCUCGGGAUUGGCGCUUUCUCUCAGUGCCCUCCGCCCCGUGGAAAGCUUUGCUUUCUUCUGCACGCCUCGCAGGAUGACGGCAACCCUAAAGAAAGUGAAGUGUCCUGUGUGCCACAUGGAGCUUGAGGAAAGGAAAUGAUUAAAGCUGUGAGGUUUCCUGGCUCUUCGCGGUGUUUACGAAAGGAGAGAAAGUGAUGAGGAAGAUUAACACCCUGCUUCUAAUUAUGGCCAAGUAGGAGGACUUGAAUGGAAAAUGAGAAGACAGAAACCCUGGAAAAGGGCCACCCCGCCAUCAGAAAAUUCCAGAGGGAUGUGGUCACUGCCAGCACACACUGUUAGUCUGAGUUUAAAAAUAUUUCAGGAAAUUAUAAAAGCUUGGUUUCGAUACCCUGCUCUGAGAUUCCAAAAAGAAGCAGGGGAUAUUCCUCAAAAUAAAUUUCUGAAACUA